rnacentral:rRNA from 1 species
UACGUAGGGUCCGAGCGUUGUCCGGAAUUACUGGGCGUAAAGAGCUCGUAGGCGGUUUGUCGCGUUGUUCGUGAAAACUCACAGCUCAACUGUGGGCGUGCGGGCGAUACGGGCAGACUUGAGUACUGCAGGGGAGACUGGAAUUCCUGGUGUAGCGGUGGAAUGCGCAGAUAUCAGGAGGAACACCGGUGGCGAAGGCGGGUCUCUGGGCAGUAACUGACGCUGAGGAGCGAAAGCGUGGGGAGCAAACAGG